ACGAACGCUGGCGGCGUGCUUCACACCUGCAGGUCGAACGGAAAGGCCCUGCUUUUGUGGGGUGCUCGAGUGGCGAACGGGUGAGUAACACGUGAGUAACCUGCCCUUGACUUUGGGAUAACUUCAGGAAACUGGGGCUAAUACCGGAUAGGAGCUCCUGCUGCAUGGUGGGGGUUGGAAAGUUUCGGCGGUUGGGGAUGGACUCGCGGCUUAUCAGCUUGUUGGUGGGGUAGUGGCUUACCAAGGCUUUGACGGGUAGCCGGCCUGAGAGGGUGACCGGCCACAUUGGGACUGAGAUACGGCCCAGACUCCUACGGGAGGCAGCAGUGGGGAAUAUUGCACAAUGGGCGGAAGCCUGAUGCAGCAACGCCGCGUGCGGGAUGACGGCCUUCGGGUUGUAAACCGCUUUCGCCUGUGACGAAGCGUGAGUGACGGUAAUGGGUAAAGAAGCACCGGCUAACUACGUG
rnacentral:rRNA from 1 species